rnacentral:rRNA from 1 species
CCUACGGGUGGCAGCAGUAGGGAAUAUUGCUCAAUGGGCGAAACCCUGAAGCAGCAACGCCGCGUGAAGGAUGAAGGUUUUCGGAUUUUAAACUCUUUUUGUUAGAGAAGAUAAUGACGGUAUCUAACGAAUAAGCACCGGCUAACUCCGUGCCAGCAGCCGCGGUAAUACGGAGGGUGCAAGCGUUAUGCGGAAUCACUGGGCGUAAAGAGCGCGUAGGCGGGAUAGCAAGUCAGGUGUUAAAUCCUCUGGCUUAACCUGAGAACUGCAUUUGAAACUGGUAUUCUAGAGUAAGGGAGAGGUAGGUGGAAUUCUUGGUGUAGGGGUAAAAUCCGUAGAGAUCAAGAGGAAUACUGAUGGCGAAGGCGACCUACUAGAACAUAACUGACGCUGAUGCGCGAAAGCGUGGGGAGCAAACAGGAUUAGAUACCCGAGUAGUC